CUGCCCUAUAAAUGAUAUUCCACGAUUAAUUUUACUUUAUUUAUUUUGUUUGUAUAUCUCUGUCUAGUUAAUUUUUUAUAGGGAUAUUUUAUUUUAUUUGAAUGGUUAAGAAUUCAGGUCUAGAUGCAGCAUAUAUUAGAGUGGAGGUGGGUUACAUUUAUUCUAAUAACGGACAUUAGGAGUGAAAAUCUUAUGGGGAAGUUGGAUUUGGUAGUAAUUUUUAUUUAAUUAUACUUGUGAAUUAAGUUCUGAGCUGUGUACAUAUCGCCCGUCAUUCCUAUCUACAAGAUAGGACAAGUCGUAACAUAGUGGCUGUACUGGAAAGUGUAGCUGGUUGGCUAUCAAAUUAAAA
rnacentral:rRNA from 1 species